AUUAGUAGGGCUGCAAAGGCAGGUUACUCUGAUAUAGUAAUAUUUGAGGUUUAUUCUUCCGCUAAUA
rnacentral:tRNA from 1 species